UAGAUGAAAGCCAAAAGUAGAGGCGCCUAGCUGUUAAUUAGGAGAAUGUAAUUUGUUACUCAUCUAG
rnacentral:tRNA from 1 species